rnacentral:rRNA from 1 species
ACUCCUACGGGAGGCAGCAGUGGGGAAUAUUGCACAAUGGGGGGAAAAGCCCCUGAUGCAGCCAUGCCCGCGUGUGUGAAGAAGGCCUUCGGGUUGUAAAGCACUUUCAGUAGGGAGGAAGGUAGUGUAGUUAACACCUGCAUUAUUUGACGUUACCUACAGAAGAAGCACCGGCUAACUCCGUGCCAGCAGCCGCGGUAAUACGGAGGGUGCGAGCGUUAAUCGGAAUUACUGGGCGUAAAGCGCAUGCAGGCGGCCUGUUAAAGUCAGAUGUGAAAGCCCGGGGCUUAACUCGGAAUUGCAUUUGAAAACUGGCAGGCUAGAGUCUUGUAGAGGGGGGUAGAAUUUCAGGUGUAGCGGUG